ACCUGAAAGGAAAAGAAAAUGGAGCAAGUGUUCAAUUAUCUGUUAAAAUUUAUGAUUAUGUCAGCAUAAAAUUUCCACAAAAUUCAUAAAAUACUAUUAAAUUAGAAAGAAAAAGAUGAACUGAAUUUUGAAACGAAUAUGAGUUUUGGCUUGUUUGUUUGAAUCUUCCAUCACCAGGGUACAGGAACACUUAAAUAUUUAUACCACUAAAGGAAAAGUGAAAGGAAAAAUAAAUCUCAGUCAAGAUUUAAGAUUUGACAUUUCAUCCAAAAAGUUUUUAAAAAAGCAAAAAUAAACUUGUAAAACCAUUCCCAGUUUAUAAUUUUUUCAAAGAAUCGAGCUGUGCCCUAGAAUUUUUAAGUGCCCUAGAAUUUUAAUAAUUUAUUAUAAUUUAAUAGUUUUUAGUAAUUAUCAAUGCAAGUCAUACAGUCAACAUGCAAAUAAGUCAAAUAGCCACAUGCUGACCACAACUAGAAAUAGAAGUCCAUGAAAUAACACCACUUACAAUGACUCUAAAAGUCAAAGUCAGGUUUCCCAAUUAACUGACAUGUUUUUAGAAUAUGUACUACAUAUUUUAUAUACUUGAGCAAAACGUUUAAGGCAUGAUAAUAAACUCAUUUUUCAACUCUUGAAAUUAUACUGACACCCUUAAUAUGCUGAAAUGUCAGAAUCCCUGCUUAGAUUAGAAGCAGUGUUUCUUUCAAUCAUUUCAGUAUCUGUGUAAAGAGCAGUGACAAAAAAUAAUUUAGAAGAAACAUUCAAAUUAAGCAUGCUUGAAAAGAAAUGCUUCUGAUCAAACUCUGAAAUUCUAAAGGAUGAAAUGUAACUUUAUAAAUAAAUACAGGUUACUGGCAGGUGUUUUAAAAACUGUUUGCACCUAACAUAUAGCAUAAUGGGAAAUGCAAAAGGCUAGUCACUGUAGCCUAGUCUACAGAAAGGCAGAUCAACCACUGUUGUCAUAGUAGACGAUUAUGCUACUGGAUGCAGAGGUCAGAGCAGAGUACUGGACUGCACAGCUACACCCAUCAAGAUACUUUCUUAAUCUCUCUGGCGACUCUUGCCAGUAAUCCCAGCACUUGGGAGACUGGAAGAAAGAAUGCCACACGUUUGAGAUUUGUCCACUGAAAUACCUGGAAGCAAUAAUCCAUGCAGUAGCAACGAAUCCUAGUUGUGAUCCCAAUCCUAAGAAUCCCAGUCCCUAUGGAAAGAACCCGAGCUCCUUGAGGACUCCUUGAACCACAGGUGUCUGACACAGGCCAGACACAAAGGAGUCUGGAACGUUCAACCGUCCAGGCCCAUUAGAAAGCACAAAGAACAGUGAAGACCAGAGGAGACCGUCGCAGGGGAUGAGUGUCCACGGGAGCAGUUCAAACAACAGAGGUGCCCACUACAGCAGUAUAGCGACUCUAAAUUCUACAAGUGCACGCUGAAGAAGCAACCAAUCCUGGGUCUGGAUCAGAAUCACAAGAUGUGCUUAACAUUCUGUAGUCUCAGGAAGAACUAUUCAAAAACAGAACGGACAUCAUAUAGAAAGUG